rnacentral:lncRNA from 1 species
GAGGCGUUCCAACACAAGAUGGCGCUUGUAGCGUUCUUGGGGUUUCAAGACGCUUCAUAUUUAAGCUCCGAGACACACAUUUCUUUGUGCGGGCGCCGCCAUGUUAGUUUUUUAUUAUACCAGAAUGAGGCAAAAUAAAAGAAGCGCCUCCCACCACAGCGCUGUGCUGUGCUCGACUGAGCGGCACGCAGCCGUCAUAAACACCACCGAGGAAAGAUGGCUGACAAGAAAAGGGUAGCACAGAUGGAUAGCAAUGUUACAGCGGAACAGAUGACAGACUUUGAUCGGGGGCUUAUCGUUGGCUUCCACAAAGCGGGGAAGUCGGUGCCCGAAAUUGUGAAGAUGACUGGCCUACCCCAGCGUUUUGUCAAGAGAUUCCUGAAGGACUGGGAUAGGGGUGUUAUCGAUGCACACACCGGACUCUACAAAGAUGGCACUGCCCUGGGCCGGGACAGCGAGGACAGUGCUAAUGAAGGUUGACGGACCUGUGCCUUCAGCAGAGGGACUUGAACCUUUCCUUUGUUCGUUAUACAUUUGUGUUUGCUGUACUGUUUUUGCUGCCACGUAAUAGUAUGGAAAUAAAACAAAAGAACACUUACUCA